ACCUACGGGGGGCAGCAGUGGGGAAUUUUGGACAAUGGGGGCAACCCUGAUCCAGCCAUGCCGCGUGGGUGAAGAAGGCCUUCGGGUUGUAAAGCCCUUUCGGUGGGGACGAAACGGUGCCGGCUAAUACCCGGCACUACUGACGGUACCCACAGAAGAAGCACCGGCUAACUACGUGCCAGCAGCCGCGGUAAUACGUAGGGUGCGGGCGUUAAUCGGAAUUACUGGGCGUAAAGCGUGCGCAGGCGGUCUGCUAAGAGAGGUGUGAAAUCCCCGGGCUUAACCUGGGAACUGCGCUUCUAACUGGCAGGCUUGAGUGUGGCAGAGGGGGGUGGAAUUCCACGUGUAGCAGUGAAAUGCGUAGAGAUGUGGAGGAACACCGAUGGCGAAGGCAGCCCCCUGGGCUAACACUGACGCUCAUGCACGAAAGCGUGGGGAGCAAACAGGAUUAGAUACCCGGGUAGUCCG
rnacentral:rRNA from 1 species